rnacentral:sRNA from 1 species
CAAGUCGGUCCGGCGUCUGUGGGUUAUCUUCAGGAGUCCUUCGGGACUCUUCCCAUUGGCACUAACUUGACCGCUGU